rnacentral:tRNA from 2 species
GCCCGAGUGGUGAAAUAGGUAAACACAGUAGACUUAAAAUCUGCCGCCGACAGGCUUGACGGUUCGAUUCCGUCCUCGGGCACCA